UACGAAGGGGGCUAGCGUUGUUCGGAAUUACUGGGCGUAAAGGGCGCGUAGGCUGUGCUGUAAGUCAGGCGUGAAAGCCCCGGGCUCAACCUGGGAAUUGCGCUUGAUACUGCGGCGCUGGAAGGUGGGAGAGGAUGGCGGAAUUCCCAGUGUAGAGGUGAAAUUCGUAGAUAUUGGGAAGAACACCGGUGGCGAAGGCG
rnacentral:rRNA from 1 species